GAUGAACGCUGGCGGCGUGCCUAAUACAUGCAAGUCGAGCGAACAGACGAGGAGCUUGCUCCUCUGACGUUAGCGGCGGACGGGUGAGUAACACGUGGAUAACCUACCUAUAAGACUGGGAUAACUUCGGGAAACCGGAGCUAAUACCGGAUAAUAUAUUGAACCGCAUGGUUCAAUAGUGAAAGACGGUUUUGCUGUCACUUAUAGAUGGAUCUGCGCCGCAUUAGCUAGUUGGUAAGGUAACGGCUUACCAAGGCAACGAUGCGUAGCCGACCUGAGAGGGUGAUCGGCCACACUGGAACUGAGACACGGUCCAGACUCCUACGGGAGGCAGCAGUAGGGAAUCUUACGCAAUGGGCGAAAGCCUGACGGAGCAACGCCGCGUGAGUGAUGAAGGUCUUCGGAUCGUAAAACUCUGUUAUUAGGGAAGAACAAAUGUGUAAGUAACUAUGCACGUCUUGACGGUACCUAAUCAGAAAGCCACGGCUAACUACGUG
rnacentral:rRNA from 1 species